GAUGAACGCUGGCGGCGUGCCUAAUACAUGCAAGUCGAGCGAACGGACGAGAAGCUUGCUUCUCUGAUGUUAGCGGCGGACGGGUGAGUAACACGUGGAUAACCUACCUAUAAGACUGGGAUCACUUCGGGACACCGGAGCUAAUACCGGAUAAUAUUUUGAACCGCAUGGUUCAAAAGUGAAAGACGGUCUUGCUGUCACUUAUAGAUGGAUCCGCGCUGCAUUAGCUAGUUGGUAAGGUAACGGCUUACCAAGGCAACGCUGCAUAGCCGACCUGAGGGGGGGUUCGGCGACUGUGAAACUGAGACGCGACCCAGACUCUUAGGGAAGGCAGAGGUAGGGAAGCUUCGGAAAAGGGCGAAAGCCUGACGGAGCAACGCCGCGGGAGUGAUGAAGGGCUGCGGAUCGUAAAACGGUGUUAUUAGUGAAGAACAUAUGUGUAAGUAACGGUGCACAUCUUGACGGUACCUAAUCAGAAAGCCACGCCUAACUACGU
rnacentral:rRNA from 1 species